rnacentral:rRNA from 1 species
GACGAACGCUGGCGGCGUGCCUAAUACAUGCAAGUAGAACGCUGAAGAGAGGAGCUUGCUCUUCUUGGAAGAGUUGCGAACGGGUGAGUAACGCGUAGGUAACCUGCCUUGUAGCGGGGGAUAACUAUUGGAAACGAUAGCUAAUACCGCAUAACAAUGGGUGACCCAUGUCAUUCAUUUGAAGGGGGCAACUGCUCCACUACAAGAUGGACCUGCGUCGUAUUAGCUAGUAGGUGAGGUAACGGCUCACCUAGGCGACGAUACAUAGCCGACCUGAGAGGGUGAUCGGCCACACUGGGACUGAGACACGGCCCAGACUCCUACGGGAGGCAGCAGUAGGGAAUCUUCGGCAAUGGGGGCAACCCUGACCGAGCAGCGCCGCGUGAGUGAAGAAGGUUUUCGGAUCGUAAAGCUCUGUUGUAAGUCAAGAACGAGUGUGAGAGUGGAAAGUUCACACUGUGACGGUAGCUUACCAGAAAGGGACGGCUAACUACGUGCCAGCAGCCGCGGUAAUACGUAGGUCCCGAGCGUUGUCCGGAUUUAUUGGGCGUAAAGCGAGCGCAGGCGGUUUGAUAAGUCUGAAGUUAAAGGCUGUGGCUCAACCAUAGUUCGCUUUGGAAACUGUCAAACUUGAGUGCAGAAGGGGAGAGUGGAAUUCCAUGUGUAGCGGUGAAAUGCGUAGAUAUAUGGAGGAACACCGGUGGCGAAAGCGGCUCUCUGGUCUGUAACUGACGCUGAGGCUCGAAAGCGUGGGGAGCGAACAGG